rnacentral:lncRNA from 1 species
GCGUACACAUACUGACAGUGCGUGGCAGUCACAACUGCAUUGAACAGAAUGAAAGUAAAAAGUUCUCUCUGAGUUUUGGAGCUUUAUGGAAUAAUUUGGAGGAUUUGGAAGUAACAAAAUGAAAAGAUGGAGGAUCGGAAAAAAACUUUAUGAGAAAAUACAUCUCAGAAUGACUGCCGUUAAAAAUUACCAAGGAUGGAGGCGGAUGCAUGAUACAGGAGCUGAAAAAAAGAGCAACAUGUCCAGACCUGCAAAAUAUUUACAAGCAUAGACUGAAGAAGUGUGAAGCAUACUGAAGUGAUGUGUGUGUGUGUGUUCCACAGCUGUAAAUUAUGGAAAGAAAAGCAGUGCACUGCAGUGAAUUGCACAGGCCAAGAUGUCUCAAGUUGUACAUUCAAACAGAAGUGAUGGGUGACAGGCUUUUACUAGCAACUUGUGAAGAAAAAUCAGGUAGCUAGAGCAGAGACCAGAUGCUGUGAUGGUGGUGAUGCAAACAGGGAGAGACGUUUUACAAUUGAAAUGAUAGACUCUGAUAUUUACAUGUAUUGUUUUGUAUGAUGAACUUUGUCCGUGCAAGUGGCUAUGCCCGUAAAAGAGGCACACUUUUGCUUAUUGUGUUUGUUGUAUUUCAAUAUAAAAAGUAAUGGUAAAGGUCUCCGAGAUGAAGGUUUAGUGUUGUUGUCUGUAUUAUAGAGUCCAAUAGCCUGUCCUGUCUGUCCGCAAUUAAUACUUUGCCAGCUUGUAUGCUAAGUAUGCUAUCCCAAUGAAAUGUUAAGAGACACUGGCAUUCACCAGUGUGAGUAAACAUGUUCACUCAUGCUGGUAGUGCCUUUGUGUAUUAAGUGUACUUGGUAGGCAAGUGUGGUCUAUCACAU